AGCGAACGCUGGCGGCAGGCCUAACACAUGCAAGUCGAACGAACCUUUCGGGGUUAGUGGCGGACGGGUGAGUAACACGUGGGAACGUGCCUUUAGGUUCGGAAUAACUCAGGGAAACUUGUGCUAAUACCGAAUGUGCCCUUCGGGGGAAAGAUUUAUCGCCUUUAGAGCGGCCCGCGUCUGAUUAGCAAGUUGGUUGAGGUAAUGGCUCACCAAGGCGACGAUCAGUAGCUGGUCUGAGAGGAUGAUCAGCCACAUUGGGACUGAGACACGGCCCAAACUCCUACGGUAGGCAGCAGUGGGGAAUCUUGCGCAAUGGGCGAAAGCCUGACGCAGCCAUGCCGCGUGAAUGAUGAAGGUCUUAGGAUUGUAAAAUUCUUUCACCGGGGACGAUAAUGACGGUACCCGGAGAAGAAGCCCCGGCUAACUUCGUG
rnacentral:rRNA from 1 species